rnacentral:rRNA from 1 species
UGGGGAAUUGUUCGCAAUGGGCGCAAGCCUGACGACGCAACGCCGCGUGGAGGAUGAAGGUCUUCGGAUCGUAAACUUCUGUUGCCCGGGACGAAUAGCUUAGACCUAAUACGUCUGAGUAUGACGGUACCGGGUGAGGAAGCCCCGGCUAACUCUGUGCCAGCAGCCGCGGUAAUACAGAGGGGGCAAGCGUUGUUCGGAAUUACUGGGCGUAAAGGGCGCGUAGGCGGCAUGACAAGUCACUUGUGAAAUCUCUGGGCUUAACCCAGAACGGCCAAGUGAUACUGUCGCGCUAGAGUGCAGAAGGGGCAAUCGGAAUUCUUGGUGUAGCGGUGAAAUGCGUAGAUAUCAAGAGGAACACCUGAGGUGAAGACGGGUUGCUGGGCUGACACUGACGCUGAGGCGCGAAAGCCAGGGGAGCAAACGGGAUUAGAUACCCACGUAGUCCCUGAGCGGGCUGGCAAGGCGCAU